AGUUCUUGUUAACGACGUCGUGUGUGUGAUAAAGUUUUUAUUAUCAAGUCGCAAUGUACGCAAUGACCAUUUAAUUUAAAAUGAUUAGGUUCUUUUUUUCAUUUUUGUUGUAAUAACGUCUUAUAAACUGAUGAACGCCAACGUCAAGCUAUAGCUUGAUAAGAUAACAUAUAGAGGGAUAAGCCUCUCUAUAGAGAGGCUUAUCUUUCUUGUUUUGUCAAGUAUUUAUAAAGUAGUUGAUGGGAAUUUCAUUGUUUAUUACAAAAACAAUUGCAGCAAAAAAGCACUGCUAUCACUGAAAUUGGAGAACACGCUGUGAUCGUUUCUCUUUUGUGUCCUUUCGGGAGGUGGUAGCACGGCUCUAGGCAUGAGCACUGGAGAUUUUUCACGACUCUAUUGGAGUAAACAAACGUCAUUCCGGUUCGAAGGACCAUUACGAUCGCCGAAGUCACAGCGAAACUGGCAUGGAUUUCGAUAAAGUGAGGGCAAAAACAAUAUAAGAUUUUUGUUACCUCUUGAAGAAUCGGCAUCGUGACCGCGUUAUCAGAUUCGGCCUGUAGGAAGGGGCGAGGCCUGUUCGAAGCAG